rnacentral:rRNA from 1 species
ACAUGCAAGUCGAGCGGACCGACGGGAGCUUGCUCCCUUAGGUCAGCGGCGGACGGGUGAGUAACACGUGGGUAACCUGCCUGUAAGACUGGGAUAACUCCGGGAAACCGGGGCUAAUACCGGAUGCUUGAUUGAACCGCAUGGUUCAAUCAUAAAAGGUGGCUUUUAGCUACCACUUGCAGAUGGACCCGCGGCGCAUUAGCUAGUUGGUGAGGUAACGGCUCACCAAGGCGACGAUGCGUAGCCGACCUGAGAGGGUGAUCGGCCACACUGGGACUGAGACACGGCCCAGACUCCUACGGGAGGCAGCAGUAGGGAAUCUUCCGCAAUGGACGAAAGUCUGACGGAGCAACGCCGCGUGAGUGAUGAAGGUUUUCGGAUCGUAAAACUCUGUUGUUAGGGAAGAACAAGUACCGUUCGAAUAGGGCGGCACCUUGACGGUACCUAACCAGAAAGCCACGGCUAACUACGUGCCAGCAGCCGCGGUAAUACGUAGGUGGCAAGCGUUGUCCGGAAUUAUUGGGCGUAAAGCGCGCGCAGGCGGUUUCUUAAGUCUGAUGUGAAAGCCCCCGGCUCAACCGGGGAGGGUCAUUGGAAACUGGGGAACUUGAGUGCAGAAGAGGAGAGUGGAAUUCCACGUGUAGCGGUGAAAUGCGUAGAGAUGUGGAGGAACACCAGUGGCGAAGGCGACUCUCUGGUCUGUAACUGACGCUGAGGCGCGAAAGCGUGGGGAGCGAACAGGAUUAGAUACCCUGGUAGUCCACGCCGUAAACGAUGAGUGCUAAGUGUUAGAGGGUUUCCGCCCUUUAGUGCUGCAGCAAACGCAUUAAGCACUCCGCCUGGGGAGUACGGUCGCAAGACUGAAACUCAAAGGAAUUGA